CGGACGGGUGAGUAACGCGUGGAUAACCUACCUAUAAGACUGGGAUAACUUCGGGAAACCGGAGCUAAUACCGGAUAAUAUAUUGAACCGCAUGGUUCAAUAGUGAAAGACGGUUUUGCUGUCACUUAUAGAUGGAUCCGCGCCGCAUUAGCUAGUUGGUAAGGUAACGGCUUACCAAGGCAACGAUGCGUAGCCGACCUGAGAGGGUGAUCGGCCACACUGGAACUGAGACACGGUCCAGACUCCUACGGGAGGCAGCAGCU
rnacentral:rRNA from 1 species